GUGGAUGUGUCGGAGUGGUUAUCGGGCAUGACUAGAAAUUAUGUGGGUUCGCUCGCUGCGAGUUUGAAUCCUGUCAUUCACG